rnacentral:rRNA from 1 species
AUUUUCCGGUUGAUCCUGCCGGACCCCACUGCUAUCGGGAUGGGACUAAGACAUGCUAGUUGAGCGCUUUUCAGCCAUGUGGGAAGCGCAGCGCACAGCUCAGUAACACGUGGCUAACCUGCCCUUGGGACGAGACCAACCCCGGGAAACUGGGGCUAAUCCUCGAUAGGUGAAGAACUCUGGAAUGAGUCUUUGCCUAAAAGACGUUGGAUCAUGCUUCCAGCGCCGCCCAAGGAUGGGGCCGCGACCGAUCAGGUUGUUGGUGAGGUAAUGGCCCACCAAGCCUAUAACCGGUGCGGGCCGUGAGGGCGGGAGCCCGGAGAUGGGCACUGAGACAAGGGCCCAGGUCCUACGGGGCGCAGCAGUCGCGAAACCUUUGCAAUACACGAAAGUGUGACAGGGUCAUCCCGAGUGCCGACCGCUGAGGUUGGCUUUUACCCAGUCUAGAAAGCUGGGGGAAUAAGGAGAGGGCAAGUCUGGUGUCAGCCGCCGCGGUAAUACCAGCUCUCCGAGUGGUGUGGACGUUUAUUGGGCCUAAAGCAUCCGUAGCUGGCUGAACAAGUCCCCUGUUAAACCCACCGAUUUAAUCGUUGGUCUGCGGGGGAUACUGCUCGGCUAGGGGACGAGAGAGGCAGACGGUAUUCCCGGGGUAGGGGUGAAAUCCUAUAAUCCCGAGAAGACCACCAGUGGCGAAGGCUGUCUGCUAGAACGCGCCCGACGGUGAGGGAUGAAAGCUGGGGGAGCGAACCGGAUUAGAUACCCGGGUAGUCCCAGCUGUAAACGAUGCAGACUAGGUGGUGGGGACGGCCACGUGCCGUUCUAGUGCCGCAGGGAAGCUGUUAAGUCUGCCGCCUGGGGAGUACGAUCGCAAGAUUAAACUUAAAGGAAUUGGCGGGGGAGCACCACAAGGCAUUCCUUGCGGUUUAAUUGGAGUCAACGCCGGGAAU